GCAGUUCAGCUGGUAAAGCAUGAGACCCUUAAACUCAGGGUUGUGGGUUCGAGCCGCAGGUUGAGCA